GGUAUGCAUAAACAUACCGACUGAGAGAAGCUGAUGAAGUUUUCUAGGAUGGCUAACACCUCGAUUCUUCUGAAUGAAUUGACAUGAAUCUGAUGUCUGAUCUCUGUUCCUGCCGGAGAGAAGCAUCAAUGGUUUCUGGUAGGCAUCUUCAUAUGAACUCCUCGACUGCUGCUGUACUUCAUUACCACAGGUUGAUUGGAGAUGGAAGAUAUACUUGAAGUUGCACAUUUGAAGGACUUAAUUCUUGGCUCAAAUAAAGUUCCCCUUGCUUUCUUGUAUCACUUGCAUUGCUCUUUCUAUGAGUGUGGGAGAGAAGUAUUUGUGUGUUCAACAGUGAUCCAACUAAAUUAUCUGGUUGUCUGUGGGUGCUGAAUGCCUGCUGAUGGAGCAACAACACUCUGCGACCACUUUUGGGAGCCUUUUUUGGUUGUCCAUAAGAAGAGUUUGUCCAUUCAAGUAGAAAGAAAGGAGAUGCAAUUGGAGACAGAUUACAUUUAAGUUCAGAGCAUCUCCAACAAUAAGAGCUUGCAGAACAAUCUCAUGCCUGUUUAAUGGAGUGGGGUGGUUAAAGAUUCGUGCAGAUUCAAGGAGAUGAUAUCCACAUCCAUCACAACUAGUAUCGAGGUUCAUUAUCAUCCCUUUCUUUGGUAAAAUCUUUCUUUCAAGAAGUGCUGCAUUAUAGAUCGUCCAAUAACAAUACUCCAGUUUUUGUGGAUGAGGUGAAAUAUAACUCAAACCACUGCAGGAACUUUUGAACGACAUGCUUGAACUCAUACAAAAACACUUAAUAUGAAGGAGUAGACCACUUUAUUUUCACAGUCCUACCAGUUUUAGAUCCUUUUUUUUAUUGAGCUAAUUUGAGUGCCUGUAUUUGCUCAAGACGAGAAAACUGACUCGUGUGAUCUAAAUCUAUUUAACACAGGACUUGUGAGGAGGAAUG